AUUGAACGCUGGCGGCAUGCCUUACACAUGCAAGUCGAACGGCAGCACGGGAGCAAUCCUGGUGGCGAGUGGCGAACGGGUGAGUAAUAUAUCGGAACGUGCCCAGUCGUGGGGGAUAACGCAGCGAAAGCUGUGCUAAUACCGCAUACGAUCUAAGGAUGAAAGCGGGGGAUCGCAAGACCUCGCGCGAUUGGAGCGGCCGAUAUCAGAUUAGCUAGUUGGGGGGGUAAAGGCCAACCAAGGCGACGAUCUGUAGCGGGUCUGAGAGGACGACCAGCCACACUGGAACUGAGACACGGUCCAGACUUCUACGGGAAGCAGCAGUGGGGAAUUUUGGACAAUGGGCGCAAGCCUGAUCCAGCAAUGCCGCGUGCAGGAUGAAGGCCUUCGGGUUGUAAACUGCUUUUGUACGGAACGAAACGGCCCUUUCUAAUACAGGGGGCUAAUGACGGUACCGUAAGAAUAAGCACCGGCUAACUACGUGCCAGCCGCCGCAGUAA
rnacentral:rRNA from 1 species